rnacentral:rRNA from 1 species
GACGAACGCUGGCGGCGUGCUUAACACAUGCAAGUCGAACGGAAAGGCCUGCUUUCCCUUGUGGAUUGCGGGUACUCGAGUGGCGAACGGGUGAGUAACACGUGAGUGAUCUGCCCCCAACUUGGGUAUAAGCCUGGGAAACUGGGUCUAAUUCCCGAUAGGACUGCAGGGCGGUGCCUGUGGUGGAAAACGAUUUUCUAGUGGUUGGGGAUGAGCUCGCGGCCUAUCAGCUUGUUGGUGGGGUAAUGGCCUACCAAGGCGGCGACGGGUAGCCGGCCUGAGAGGGUGGACGGCCACAUUGGGACUGAGAUACGGCCCAGACUCCUACGGGAGGCAGCAGUGGGGAAUAUUGCACAAUGGGCGGAAGCCUGAUGCAGCGACGCCGCGUGGGGGAUGACGGCCUUCGGGUUGUAAACUCCUUUCGACCGCGAGGAAGCCACCUGGUUGGAAGGGUGGUGACGGUAGUGGUAGAAGAAGCACCGGCUAACUACGUG